rnacentral:rRNA from 1 species
AGUGAACGCUGGCGGUAGGCCUAACACAUGCAAGUCGAACGGCAGCACAGUAAGAGCUUGCUCUUACGGGUGGCGCGUGGCGGACGGGUGAGGUAUACAUCGGAAUCUACUUUUUCGUGGGGGAUAACGUCGGGAAACUUACGCUAAUACCGCAUACGACCUACGGGUGAAAGCAGGGGAUCUUUGGACCUUGCGCGAUUGAAUGAGCCGACGUCGGAUUAGCUAGUUGGCGGGGGAAAGGCCAACCAAGGCGACGAUCCGUAGCUGGUCUGAGAGGAUGAUCAGCCACACUGGAACUGAGACACGGUCCAGACUCCGACGGGAGGCAGCAGUGGGGAAUAUUGGACAAUGGGCGCAAGCCUGAUCCAGCCAUACCGCGUGGGUGAAGAAGGCCUUCGGGUUGUAAAGCCCUUUUGUUGGGAAAGAAAAGCAGCAGGUUAAUACCCCGCUGUUCUGACGGUACCCAAAGAAUAAGCACCGGCUAACUUCGUG